rnacentral:rRNA from 1 species
GGAAUAUUGGUCAAUGGGCGAAAGCCUGAACCAGCCAUGCCGCGUGAGUGAUGAAGGCCUUAGGGUUGUAAAGCUCUUUCGACGGGGAAGAUAAUGACGGUACCCGUAGAAGAAGCCCCGGCUAACUUCGUGCCAGCAGCCGCGGUAAUACGAAGGGGGCUAGCGUUGUUCGGAAUCACUGGGCGUAAAGCGCGCGUAGGCGGGUCGUUAAGUCAGGGGUGAAAUCCCGAGGCUCAACCUCGGAACUGCCUUUGAUACUGGCGACCUGGAGUCCGGGAGAGGUGAGUGGAACUCCUAGUGUAGAGGUGAAAUUCGUAGAUAUUAGGAAGAACACCAGUGGCGAAGGCGGCUCACUGGCCCGGUACUGACGCUGAUGCGCGAAAGCGUGGGGAGCAAAC